rnacentral:snoRNA from 1 species
CCCCUCUCAGGGUCAUAGCUGGAGAGUUUCCAGUACUCUACCAGUCUUGGCUAUGGGAGAGAGAGUCAAGCAGAAGCACACCCAUUCCAUUCCUAGCUUGGGCAGUGGCUAGCAAGUGGAAGGCAAUCUGUUAAAAGU